rnacentral:rRNA from 1 species
AAUAGAUACCCGGGUAGUCCACGCCGUAAACGAUGAGUGCUAAGUGUUAGGGGGUUUCCGCCCCUUAGUGCUGCAGCUAACGCAUUAAGCACUCCGCCUGGGGAGUACGGUCGCAAGACUGAAACUCAAAGGAAUUGACGGGGGCCCGCACAAGCGGUGGAGCAUGUGGUUUAAUUCGAAGCAACGCGAAGAACCUUACCAGGUCUUGACAUCCCAUUGACCACUAUGGAGACAUAGUUUUCCCUUCGGGGACAACGGUGACAGGUGGUGCAUGGUUGUCGUCAGCUCGUGUCGUGAGAUGUUGGGUUAAGUCCCGCAACGAGCGCAACCCUUGUUCUUAGUUGCCAUCAUUUAGUUGGGCACUCUAAGGAGACUGCCGGUGACAAACCGGAGGAAGGUGGGGAUGACGUCAAAUCAUCAUGCCCCUUAUGACCUGGGCUACACACGUGCUACAAUGGACGGUACAAACGGUUGCCAACCCGCGAGGGGGAGCUAAUCCGAUAAAACCGUUCCCAGUUCGGAUUGUAGGCUGCAACUCGCCUACAUGAAGCCGG